CUAUAGGCCGCUGCUGGUGAACAACACAGACAAGAGUCCGAAGAACGAGGCUGAUGCCAACGCAGAGACCUCAGCAGAGAUGGAUGGACCUGCAGGACUGGCUGAGGAGGGGCCAGUUAUGCCGGUGCCAGAGGUUAUGAACCUGUGUGAGACAGCGACCCUGUGUGGAGAAGCCUAGAAACUGCACCAAGGUCCAGCAGCUUACAAUUAAAGUACAGUAUUUCUUGCCAACUGUGAGCCUACAUUCCCAUUUCAAAAUAUUUCUCAAUAUUUGAAAUCAGAGAGUGUGUUUAAUGUGCAAUACAACUGUUCUAGUAACCUUUUCAGCAUUAACGAAGAGUGCAUUCCAAUCACUGAGCAACUGAGGAUCAAGUGCCUUUCCUCACGACACCUUAACAGCAGCUGCAGUAGUUUAGCAUAAAUGUUGCCCCUUCGGAUUAUAAAGCCGCUAAAGAAUAAACUUGAAAUAUCCCUUUAACGUUUCAGCUCCGAUCACUGUGUUUUAUUUACGCCUGGUUAUUUUGGUCCCGAUUAUCGUUUCAGCAAAGUAAAAAAUGCAUUGACUGACCAAUGCCAUCAUGUACAGCUACAUAUUUUGAUUCACCUAUUUAACUUUUAUUUCCAUUGAUUUUUUUUCCCUUCUUCUUCAAACCUGAGUGCAGCUGCACUUUUUUAAUGUCAUUGUUUAAACCAGAGUUAUAAAAUGGACUGUAUUAAGUAUUUCGUGCUUUUUAUUGUUUAUAAAAGGAUAUUUCCCUCCUU